rnacentral:rRNA from 1 species
UACGAAGGGGGCGAGCGUUGUUCGGAUUUACUGGGCGUAAAGGGCGCGCAGGCGGCUCAUUUUGUCAGGCGUGAAAGCCCCGGGCUUAACCUGGGAACUGCGUUUGAUACGGAUGGGCUAGAGUUCGGGAGAGGAGAGUGGAAUUCCCAGUGUAGAGGUGAAACUCGUAGAUAUUGGGAAGAACACCGGUGGCGAAGGCGGCUCUCUGGACCGAGACUGACGCUGAGGCGCGAAAGCGUGGGGAGCAAACAGG